GGUUCGAUUAUGGCUCAGAUUGAACGCUGGCGGGAUGCUUUACACAUGCAAGUCGAACGGCAGCACGGACUUCGGUCUGGUGGCGAGUGGCGAGCGGGUGAGUAAUGUAUCGGAACGUGCCUAGUAGCGGGGAUAACUACGCGAAAGCGUAGCUAAUACCGCAUACGCCCUUCGGGGAAAGCAGGGGGACCUUCCGGGCCUCGCACUGUAGAGCGGCCGAUAUCGGAUUGGCUAGUUGGUGGGGUAACGGCUCUCACAAGGCGACGAUCCGUAGCGCUGGUUUGAGAGGACGACCAGCCACACUGGGACUGAGACACGGCCCAGACUCCUACGGGAGGCAGCAGUGGGGUACGGACAAUGCGGAAACCCUGAUCCAGCCAUCCCAUGAGCAUUGUGCGAUGACCUUCGGGUUGCGAAGCACUUUUAGCGGAAAACGGCACGGGAUAUUACCCGUGCAACUGACGAGGAGCACCUGCAGAAUAGCGCAACUAACUACGUGCCAGCAACCGCGGUAAUACGUAAGGUGCAAGCGUUAAUCGGAAUUACUGGGCGUAAAAGCGUGCGCAGGCGGUUCGGAAAGAAGAUGUGAAAUCCCAGAGCUUAACUUUGGAACUGCAUUUUAACUACCGAGCUAGAGUGUGUCAGAGGGAGGUGGAAUUCCGCGUGUAGCAGCAGUGAAAUGCGUAGAUAUGCCGGAGAACACCGAUGGCGAAGGCAGCGCCUGGGAUAACACUGACGCUCAUGCGCGAAAGCGUGGGGAGCAAACGGAUUAGAUUACCUGGUAGUCCGCCCUAAACGAUAUCAACUAGCUGUUGGGGCCUUCGGGCCUUUGGUGGCCCCUGCAACUAACCGCGUGAAGUUGACCGCCUGGGAGAGUACGGUCGCAAGAUUAAAACUCAAAGGAAUUGACGGGGACCCGCACAAGCGGUGGAUGAUGUGAGGAUUAAUUCCGUGCAACACUUGAAAAACCUUACCUACCCUUGACAUGUCUGGAAUCCCGAAGAGAUUUGGGAGUGCUCGCAAGAGAACCGGAACACAGGUGCUGCAUGGCUGUCGUCAGCUCGUGUCGUGAGAUGUUGGGUUAAGUCCCGCAACGAGCGCAACCCUUCAAUCAUUAGUUGCUACGAGGCACUCUAAUGAGACUGGUGACAAACCGGAGGAAGGUGGGGAUGACGUCAAGUCCUCAUGGCCCUUAUGGGUAGGGGCUUCACACGUCAUACAAUGGUCAGGACGGGGGGUCGCCAACCCGCGAGGGGAGCCAAUCCCAGAAACCCGAUCGUAGUCCGGAUCACGGUCUGCAACUCGGCCGUGAAGUCGGAAUCGCUAGUAAUCGCGGAUCAGCAUGUCGCGGUGAAUACGUUCGGGUCUUGUACACACCGCCCACGUCACACCAUGGGAGUGGGUUUUACCAGAAGUAUAGUUAGCCUAACCGUAAGGAGGGCGAUUACCACGGUAAGUUCAUGACUGGGGUGAAGUCGUAACAAGGUAG
rnacentral:rRNA from 1 species